CAAAGUUCUCCCCUCUUACAGGCUGAAAGUCCAUGAUCAAGCUGCUAGCAUGGUUAGGUUCUGGUGAGAUAUGAGAGCUCUUCUGUCAGCUUUCCCUGCCCAUAUGUAGCAGAAAGACCCAAAGCUCUUUGUUGCCUCUCCUUAUAAGGCACUAAUCCCAUCAUGGCCAUGCCCUCAUGUAACAGCUGGGCCCUUGUGAUUUCAUUUAAACUAAUUAUUUUCCAAAGACAGAGUCAAAUGAUCAAAUACUAUCACAUUUUGGGUUGGAGUUUCAAGAUUAUGAAUGUGGAAGGGACAGAGUCCAAACCAUAGCAUUCCCCCAUAUUGUUUCAUUUCUAUUUUAAAAGACUUUGGGCUUUUGAAUUAAUUUUAGGUUCACAGCAAAACUGAGAGGAAGUUAGAAAUUUUUUUAAUAACCCUGGUCCUACACAUGCAUAGCCUCACCCAACAUAAUAUCCCCCACCUAAGUGGUGUACUUGUUACGAGUGAUGAAUUUACAAGGGUACAUCACAAUCCCCCAAAGUCCAUGGUUUGCUUUGGGUUAGAUUCUUGGUAUUGAACAUUCUAUGGGUUUGAACAAAUGUAUAAUGGUACAUAUCCACCAUUAUAGUAUCAACAUAGUAUUUUCACUCCCCCCAAAAUCCUGUCUCCAGCCUGGUGCAGUGACUUAAUCCCAGCAGCUCAGGAGGCUGAAGCAAGAGGAUCUUGAAUUCAAAGCCAGCCUCAGCAAAAUCCAGGCGCUAAGCAAC
rnacentral:lncRNA from 1 species